rnacentral:rRNA from 1 species
UACGGGGGGUGCAAGCGUUGUUCGGAAUUAUUGGGCGUAAAGAGCGUGUAGGCGGCAGGAUAAGUCAGAUGUGAAAGCCCUGAGCUUAACUCAGGAAGUGCAUUUGAAACUGUCCCGCUUGAGUAAGGGAGAGGGAAGUGGAAUUCCUGGUGUAGAGGUGAAAUUCGUAGAUAUCAGGAGGAACACCGGUGGCGAAGGCGACUUCCUGGCCCUAUACUGACGCUGAGACGCGAGAGCGUGGGUAG